GGAUCACAGGACACACCUCUAGACCUGGCUCCUGCCAAUACUUCACAGAACGACCACACUAAAGCUGAUAGGAAUUCUAAGUGGGCUUAGCGUGUCACCGGACAAUAGCAAGUGACAUUACGAAAAAGAAAAAUCUGCUUCAAUCAAGUGUUUACUUGGAUAAAUAUUUUGAUUGCCAAAAUCUCAAUGAACAGUGAUGAAUAUAAAUUAGUCAGAUUUCUAUAAACAUCAUGUAUAGGCAUAGGUCCUUGGAAAUAACAAGUUUGAAAUAUUAACAUAAUUAAUAAAUGAAAAUUAUGGGCUAAACUUAAUAUAUAUUUGCACAUAAUGCACAGGUGUAACAUGUAAUUGUAUAGAGGACUGAGUACAAAAUAGAGUUCAGGUGAACU
rnacentral:sRNA from 1 species